CACGAAGUUGGAUUCGCUAGUAAUCGCGCAUCAGCCAUGGCGCGGUGAAUACGUUCCCGGGCCUUGUACACACCGCCCGUCAAGCCAUGGGAGCCGGGGGCGCCUGAAGUCCGGGACCGCGAGGACCGGCCUAGGGCGAAACUGGUAACUGGGGCUAAGUCGUAACAAGGUAAC
rnacentral:rRNA from 1 species